rnacentral:rRNA from 1 species
UACGAAGGGGGCUAGCGUUGUUCGGAAUUACUGGGCGUAAAGCGCACGUAGGCGGAUUGUUAAGUUAGGGGUGAAAUCCCAGGGCUCAACCCUGGAACUGCCUUUAAUACUGGCAAUCUCGAGUCCGAGAGAGGUGAGUGGAAUUCCGAGUGUAGAGGUGAAAUUCGUAGAUAUUCGGAGGAACACCAGUGGCGAAGGCGGCUCACUGGCGCGGUACUGACGCUGAGGUGCGAAAGCGUGGGGAGCGAACAGG